UACGUAUGGAGCAAGCGUUAUCCGGAUUUACUGGGUGUAAAGGGAGCGUAGGCGGCCCUGUAAGUCUGAUGUGAAAAUUUGGGGCUCAACCCCAAACGUGCAUUGGAAACUGCAGGGCUUGAGUGCCGGAGAGGCAGGCGGAAUUCCUAGUGUAGCGGUGAAAUGCGUAGAUAUUGGGAGGAACACCAGUGGCGAAGGCGGCCUGCUGGACGGUAACUGACGCUGAGGCUCGAAAGCGUGGGGAGCAAACA
rnacentral:rRNA from 1 species